ensembl:lncRNA
CAUGCAGGCCACUGGAUAGGAGGAGUGAGUGGGAACGUGCAGGCCAUCUGAUAGGAGGAGUGAGUGGGAACGUGCAGGCCAUCUGAUAGGAGGAGUGAGUGGGAACGUGCAGGCCAUCUGAUAGGAGGAGUGAGUGGGAACGUGCAGGCCAUCUGAUAGGAGGAGUGAGUGGGAACAUGCAGGCCACUGGAUAGGAGGAGUGAGUGGGAACAUGCGGCCACUGGAUAGGAGGAGUGAGUGGGAACAUGCAGGCCACUGGAUAGGAGGAGUGAGUGGGAACAUGCAGGCCACUGGAUAGGAGGAGUGAGUGGGAACAUGCAGGCCACUGGAUAGCAGGAGUGAGUGGGAACAUGCAGGCCACUGGAUAGGAGGAGUGAGUGGGAACAUGCAGGCCACUGGAUAGGAGGAGUGAGUGGGAACAUGCAGGCCACUGGAUAGGAGGAGUGAGUGGGAACAUGCAGGCCAUCUGAUAGGAGGAGUGAGUGGGAACAUGCAGGCCACUGGAUAGGAGGAGUGAGUGGGAACAUGCAGGCCACUGGAUAGGAGGAGUGAUGGGAACAUGCAGGCCACUGGAUAGGAGGAGUGAGUGGGAACAUGCAGGCCAUCUGAUAGGAGGAGUGAUGGGAACAUGCAGGCGACUGGAUAGGAGGAGUGAGUGGGAACAUGCAGGCCACUGGAUAGGAGGAGUGAGUGGGAACAUGCAGGCCACUGGAUAGGAGGAGUGAGUGGGAACAUGCAGGC